UUUCCCACUCUCCCUCCCUCACUUUCCACUCCCUCUCUCCCCCUCCCGUCUCCAAGUAUGAGUGGAAGAGGAGGGGUGGAGGGGAGCUGGUCCUGUGAACCUACCCCUGUGCAACACCACUGAGCUACACCUUGCCAGUGUGGGUCUAGGUGGGAGACUGUGCUGAAGGAGGGGACGUGGCGACUCUCUGAAGACCGGGUACUGUGUACACAAGGGCGCUGCAUUGAGUGACUAUCGACCCGUUUUUACAAGUCACGGCUGACCCUGCAAUAACGUGCCGAGGGGCCGAGUCUCUCCAAUGUUUCCACGGCUCCUGCACAGCGGAUAUAGAGACACUUCGCACCUUCGCAGCCAGGAUAUCUCAAGAGAAAAUCUGCAACAGUAUCCAGGUGCUGCAAGAACAGGCGUCUCCUGAGGACAUCAGCGGCGGUAAUUUAGAAAACCCGGCUACAAUUUCGCUGUAAUCUUUUAUUUUUGCUUCAAGUAGUGACACACACACACACACACUUCAGGAAUUGCUUUAGAAUUCAUCCCGCGCCUACUUCCUUGGAAGUUGUAACAUGUUUUAAACAAGUGAAACCUUUCCCCUUGCCUGACAAACACUGGAUUUGGGAUC